rnacentral:rRNA from 1 species
UUUCGCAAUGCCCGAAAGGGUGACGAAGCGACGCCGCGCGUGGGAAGAAGGCCUUCGGGUUGUAAACCACUGUCAGGAGUUAGGAAAUGCAGGUGCGUUAAUAGCGUUCUUACUUGACUAAAGCUCCAGAGGAAGCCACGGCUAACUCUGUGCCAGCAGCCGCGGUAAUACAGAGGCGGCAAGCGUUGUUCGGAAUUAUUGGGCGUAAAGAGCACGUAGGCGGCUCUGCAAGUCAGCUGUGAAAGCCUUCUGCUUAACGGAAGAACGGCAGUUGAAACUACAGGGCUUGAGUGCGGGAGGGGAGAGUGGAACUUCUGGUGGAGCGGUGAAAUGCGUAGAUAUCAGAAGGAACGCCGGCGGCGAAAGCGGCUCUCUGGUCCGUAACUGACGCUGAGUGUGCGAAAGCUAGGGGAUCAAACGGGAUUAGAUACCCCGGUAGUCCUAGCCGUAAACGAUGGGCACUAAGUAGAGGGGUUUU